GGCCUCAUUUAUAGUCACUUUCAUACAAAUAAGGAAAUUGAGUCUGAGUGGCUUGCCAAAUUGUCAACCAAUAAAUGCUAGAGUCGGACUAGAAACCAGACCCCACCACCGUGCUUUCUCCGUAAGUCCUUGGGAGCCACUGAAGUAACUUGUGCACAGGCUCUUGUAAUGGGAUUCCAGGCUGCAAUGUCCAACUUGAUUUAUCUUUUGGGCAGAAGAUUUAAAUAAACAGGACAGAAAUUUCAAGUCUGGCAGCAGUCCUUAAGGAUACACUGGAGAGAAGAGAUGCUCAGGAAUACCGAGAUGUGGAAAACCAAGAUAAGAACCAAAGAGAUGAAACCGAAUAAAACGUAUUUGUAAAGCUGUGCCUUUAAGAUUAUAAAUAUCCACUUCAUAAGUUCAGGUUGCAUAAAAACUGGAUUAACAGUUCAUAAGAAAUCUACAACUUAAUUAACCACAAGAUUAAUGAAAGUUUAGUGUUAGGUAGCUGCUAAAAACAAAUGUCCUAUUUAACUGUGUGAUCUGAAAAUGAGUGUCCAGAACAAGAAAGGCAGGACUCUGCAUGCUUUUUAUACCACCAGGAAGCGCGUCCAGCUCCAGGUGCUAAACUCUAAAAAUGAUACUCUUCAUAAACUGGACAAGUAUAAACUGAACCGGGACAACUAGGAUGACGGUGAAGGACCGAAGAAAACCAUGGGAGUUUUACGAGGAAACCCGAAAUCGAACAGGAGAAAAGGAACAGAUUUCCAAGAGCAAGAAACAAGGCGGGAUGAGGGCCAGUGUGAGACUGCAGAGUUUGGCCAAAUGUCGACUAUUUUCUCCCAGUUUUCUGUUUCUAGGAAAGACACCACGUCCUUUAAGAGGUGUCCUAAUCAUUAUGUCAACACAACUGAGCUUCACAUGGAAACCAAAUUGCACUUGGACCCAAACCCAGAAGGAGAUGAAACAACCUACACUGUGCACCUGGGAGGAGAAGCCAAAGGCACAUGCAUGGCCUUUGAAUCACAGGUCUCCAGUGUUAUCAUGUGCAUAA
rnacentral:lncRNA from 1 species